rnacentral:rRNA from 1 species
GAUGAACGCUGGCGGCGUGCCUAAUACAUGCAAGUCGAGCGAAGCGGGGACGGGCGAGUAACACGUGGAUAACCACCUAUACUACUGGUAUGACUUCGGGAAACCGGAGCUGAACAGGCCACUUAUAGAUGGAAUCGCGCUGUAUUAGCUAGUUGGUAAGGUAACGGCUUACCCAGGCAACGAUGCAUAGCCGACCUGAGAGGGUGGUCAGCCACACUGGAACUGAGCGACGGUCCAGACUCCUACGGGGGGCAGCAGUAGGGGAUCUUCCGCAAUGGGCGAAAGCCUGAAGGAGCAACGCCGCGUGAGUGAUGAAGGUCUUCGGAUCGUAAAGCUCUGUUAUUAGGGAAGCGGUACCUAAUCAGAAAGCCACGGCUAACUACGUGCCAGCAGCCGCGGUAAUAC